GUACUGCCCCUAGCGGAUAAGGUAGUGUACUACACCGAUGCUACGAAGGGCUGUUGCAGACGAAUGGUGUUUUCUCUUUUUCUUUUGUUGUUGUUUUGAAGUUUUCCAAAAGAAUUUGUUUGUAAGAAUGUGAUUGAAAAUUUUUUAAAUUUAAUUAUUAUAUUGUUGUUGAGUUUUGAAGUUGGUAUGACAUGCUUCAGGAGAUAACAGUAAAAUGAGGAAAAUUCCAAGACACUUGCAGCUGAAUAAAUGAUGCCCCUGUCUACCUGGCUGCUGAAGUUUUGAAUUGUAAUGAAAUUCUGCAUAAGAUAACAAGAAAACUAGAGGCAUUCCAAGACACUUGCUGUUGGCCAUCAGAAAUGAUGAAGUAACAAGCAACGGCUUACCAUUGUUAGAGUUACCAUUACUCAAUAAGGUUUUCGAGUUGCCAUUGUCCAUUGCUUUAGGAAGUGUUGCCCAGCAUCCAAGCCGUUUUCUAGCAUGAGAUUUAAUUAGGUAAAUUCUUCUUCACUGCUAUUCUUUGGAUUGGUGAACUUUUGUUACUACUCCUCUCUCUAUUGUAAGCUCAUUGUGUUGGUGGUGUAUUUUUUUAAUGAUUAGAUAAGGAUAAUUUUUUUAAAGGACUGGAUACAACAUAGUCAUCCAGAAUUUUAUUAAUAAGAUAUCUUUGCUUUUUUUCAAUUACAACACAUAGAUAUCAUAUUUGUAGUUAUUGACUUUCAGAAUUAAAUUAGCUCCUAUCACUUGCAUUACAGAAAUAGUUUAUGUCGAUGUUUUAGAGAGCUUCUUGUGAUUUGAAGCGUUUGUUUCGACAAGUGCAAGUUUUGGUAACGUUUUGCCUCAAAAUGAAAUCUAAUUUGAACAUAUUCUAUUAUUAGAUAGGAAAGUGUUCCAGGAUGUUGUGAACAAGAAAUAGGGAUUAGACUUAGCUCCUUAAUCUUGGACAGAACUUCUUCGUAGCUGUCUAGAACAAAGAUAUGGUUAGGAGAUGAGAAAUGGGAGUCGAUUACGUUCUCUACCUCGCGAAACGUUCUGAACAUCGCGGCAGUUGCAUACUUCAAAGAACGAUCAUUUCUUUGGUAUGUGUACAAAGCUGGCAAGAAGUCUUCCAAUAGCGUUUCUUCGGUUUUCAUCAAAUUGUUGCAGUCUUUGCAGGUACCACAUACCUCAUGGUGCGUGUGAAUAAGAUAUCCGCACAAGUCCUAUACUAACUCGUAUCGAGUAAUGUCUGAUUUUCCGUCAGGAAUAUCGUUUGUGGAUCGGGCAAGUAAUUACUUUUUGAGGCUGUCUUUUAGAUUCUUCUUGAUUUCUUUCGCCUCUUACUCGCACUCGCGAAAUUUGUAGACAAGGCACUGUUUGUACGCAACCAAAAUUUAACCAGCGUCUUUUCCGUCGACGUUGGCAUUCCGGAUGGCAACUUUUGUCGGGUUGUAGAGAGAAAGAAUUCGAAAUAUGUAUUGCCAAGAGUUCGCAGUAGGAUGGUCAUCGAUUGACGCGCA